rnacentral:rRNA from 1 species
AAACCAACAGGGAUUGCCUUAGUAACGGCGAGUGAAGCGGCAAAAGCUCAAAUUUGAAAUCUGGCACCUUCGGUGUCCGAGUUGUAAUUUGAAGAAGGUAACUUUGGAGUUGGCUCUUGUCUAUGUUCCUUGGAACAGGACGUCACAGAGGGUGAGAAUCCCGUGCGAUGAGAUGCCCAAUUCUAUGUAAAGUGCUUUCGAAGAGUCGAGUUGUUUGGGAAUGCAGCUCUAAGUGGGUGGUAAAUUCCAUCUAAAGCUAAAUAUUGGCGAGAGACCGAUAGCGAACAAGUACAGUGAUUGGAAAGAUGAAAAGAACUUUGAAAAGAGAGUGAAAAAGUACGUGAAAUUGUUGAAAGGGAAGGGCUUGAGAUCAGACUUGGUAUUUUGCGAUCCUUUCCUUCUUGGUUGGGUUCCUCGCAGCUUACUGGGCCAGCAUCGGUUUGGAUGGUAGGAUAAUGACUAAGGAAUGUGGCUCUACUUCGGUGGAGUGUUAUAGCCUUGGUUGAUACUGCCUGUCUAGACCGAGGACUGCGUCUUUUGACUAGGAUGUUGGCAUAAUGAUCUUAAGCCACC